rnacentral:rRNA from 1 species
ACUCAAAUGAAUAGACGGGGGCCCGCACAAGCGGUGGAGCAUGUGGUUUAAUUCGUCAUUAACCGAAGAACCUUACCAGGGUUUGACAUCUGGGGAAUCCUGAUGAAAGUCGGGAGUGCCCGCAAGGGAGCCCCAAGACAGGUGUUGCAUGGCUGUCGUCAGCUCGUGUCGUGAGAUGUUGGGUUAAGUCCCGCAACGAGCGCAACCCUCAUCCGAUGUUGCCAGCGGAUAAUGCCGGGAACUCUUCGGAAACUGCCCGUGUAAGCGGGAGGAAGGUGAGGAUGACGUCAAGUCGGCAUGGCCCUUAUGCCCUGGGCUACACACAUGCUACAAUGGACGUUAAACAAAGGGAACCGAUGCCGCGAGGCGGGGGAAAUCUCAAAAAUACGUCCCCAGUUCGGAUUGUAGUCUGCAACUCGACUACAUGAAGUUGGAAUCGCUAGUAACCGCAGGUCAGCUAAACUGCGGUGAAUACGUUCCCGGGCCUUGCACACACCGCCCGU